rnacentral:rRNA from 1 species
UACGGAGGGUGCAAGCGUUGUUCGGAAUCACUGGGCGUAAAGGGCGUGUAGGCGGCCUGUUAAGUCUGAUGUGAAAUCCCCUCGCUCAACGAGGGAACUGCGUCGGAAACUGGCAGGCUUGAGUACCGGAGAGGAAGGUGGAAGUUCCCGGUGUAGCGGUGAAAUGCGUAGAUAUCGGGAGGAACACCGGUGGCGAAGGCGGCCUCUGGACGGAUACUGACGCUGAUACGCGAAAGCGUGGG